AGUCGAAAAUGGAGUCCUGUUGAUUAAUGGUCUGUAAGACAUAAUGACACAGUCCGAUGGAACUCCACAUACAGCCAACCAGAUCUAACAGUCCAGGCAGAAGCCAUGAAAAUUUCAGCCCACAGCAGAGAAUAAAGACGCAGCUGGAGGCAAAGGAGUGGUGAACUUGCCAACAAGGAGGAGAUUUUUGGAGGG